rnacentral:rRNA from 1 species
CCUACGGGAGGCAGCAGUGAGGAAUAUUGGUCAAUGGGCGCGAGCCUGAACCAGCCAAGUCGCGUGAAGGAUGACUGCGCUACGGAUUGUAAACUUCUUUUAUCAAGGAAUAAAAUCAGGCACGUGAGCCUGUCCGUAUGUACUUGAUGAAUAAGCAUCGGCUAACUCCGUGCCAGCAGCCGCGGUAAUACGGAGGAUCCGAGCGUUAUCCGGAUUUAUUGGGUUUAAAGGGUGCGUAGAUGGGUUGUUAAGUCAGCGGGGAAAGUUUGGGGCUCAACCGUAAAAUGGCAGUUGAAACUGGCAGUCUUGAGUACAGUUGAGGUAGGCGGAAUGCGUGGUGUAGCGGUGAAAUGCUUAGAUAUCACGAAGAACCCCGAUUGCGAAGGCAGCUUACUAAACUGCGACUGACAUUGAUGCUCGAAAGUGUGGGUAUCAAACAGGAUUAGAUACCCUUGUAGUC